rnacentral:rRNA from 1 species
UACGUAGGAGGCAAGCGUUGUCCGGAAUUACUGGGUGUAAAGCGCGUGUAGGCGGCAGGCCAAGUCUGUGGUGAAAUCGCUCGGCUCAACUGGGCGGGGUCCAUGGAAACUGGUCAGCUGGAGGACGGUAGAGGUGAGUGGAAUUCCCGGUGUAGUGGUGAAAUGCGUAGAGAUCGGGAGGAACACCCGUGGCGAAGGCAGCUCGCUGGGACGUAACUGACGCUGAGACGCGAAAGCGUGGGGAGCAAACAGG